GGGGCUGGUGGUGUUCUUAGUCCUAAGGUUGCCCCUGGAUCUCCUCCACUCCACAUAAGGAAUAGAUUUCAAAAGCUAUUAAUGCAACAUAGAUGUGCGGUUUGAAUGCCUUAGAUCAGCAUUAGCUCUAGUCUAGUCUGUUAAUCAAUAAAUGAAAACAUUGUGGUUGCUAGAGAAUGCUCCGUGUAAGCUUGAUCAAAUUCUUCUAAACCAAACAAAGCCAAAGCUUUACAUCUUAAAAAUGGAACAUUUUAAAUAUAAGCAGGGGAUUCUGUGGAGGUCCUGCCAAUUGUUUCUUUUCAGGGCUUUGCAUUAUAAAACCCUACCUGUCCUUGCAUAUAAAGUUUGUUUAAGUUGGCGUGAGGAUGUGGCCAUUUCCACUAACACCCCCCUCCUCUUCCACCCCCCCCCCAACUGCACGCUCUCUUCUCAAUAUGGGACCUAAGGCCUGCUAGCCUUGUUUUGCUUGUUUUUUACUGUGGCAUGCAUUUUUGUGUUAUUAUAUUGUAAACCACCCUUCGGAUGAAAUGAGGUAUAGAAAUUUAUUUAAUAAUAAUAAGAUGCAGAGACAGAGUCCAUUUGGGACUCCUUUCUAGCUGUACUGCUCUACGCAGCUACCUCAGUUAUGUAGGUGCUGAAAACAGUGGCACCAGACUAUAGAAAUUCUGUGUUUUACCCUGACUUCUAGCAUCCUGGUAUAGAUGAGGUAUUCAGUGACUGAACCUUGCCAAAUUUUUCCUUCUUUCCACCCAUUAGCCCAUUAGCUACCCUAGCAGGGUUGGUUUCGCAACUGCUCGACAAGGGAUGUCACUAGAUAGACCAAUGACAGAAGCUCACUUCAUGCACAAAAUGAAAAUGUGGAUACUAAACUACCAUAUGGUGUACAUUUAGCCCCCCCACCAGGCUCACAUGGCUUCUCCCGGCCACUCAAGUGUUGAGGGAUAACCUCUGAAGUUGGGGGCCUUUUCUAUUUCUAUAGACUCUCUGUGCAAUCAUAGAAUUGUAGAAAUCUUUCAGGAUUCCAAAUGGUGCAGGGAGCCCCUUUGAAGAGAAAAGGCUCACUGCUUCAGAAGUUAUCCUUCAACAUGCAAGAGGCCAGGGGGGACGGGACGGGACAUGACCUCACAGUCGCCCCUCCAGACCUUUAGGAUCUGUAUUGUACACUUGCAUGUGAAAGGGGCCUCUGUUAUUAGUCUGCAUGGUUAUGGUCCCUGUGCGAAGAAGGCGAGAGGGCAAUUCGACACUUGUUUCAAUCAUUCAGUCAGCCCUCAGCAUCAGUGUGGCAGUCACAGUGAUGGAGAUCAACACAGUCCCCACCACCACAAUUUCUGUGUGGUUUUCUGAAAGCAUUAUAAAGUAAACUAGAUUUGUCAUAACAAGCUUUCCCCUGUCAAACAGCACAUUUUCUCAGAGCUAAACUAUGUGGACAGCAUCGUAUACAGAUAAAAGGGAUUUUUUUUAUGUUAUGUGUGUGUGUUUUAAAUUAACACUCCACUUCAACCCAGUUGAAUUGGCAGGAUUGGGGGGCAGAUUAACAGAAAGGCCCCCCGAAGCACAGCAUAGCUAGUGUACCACAUUUUUAAAUGAAAUAAGUAAUAGUAUUUCCAUCCAAGAGCGUCUCCAUCACCUGAAGAACAGGACGUCCAGAGCCCAAAGAGUCAAAAUAAGCCCUAUUGGGCUCUCACAGGAAUUGAAAUUGAAAUACUUUAUUGUCACUUGUACAACUUGUGUAAAGAGAGAUUAGACGAGCACCCCCCACUCAGCUCUCUUAGCCUUAAUUCCCCUCGUUUACUGACGCACACCCACCAAACCCAAAAGUCAAUUGCCCUGUUGUUAUCUUUUCAUUCAGCAGCCUAACAGCCCACGGAUAGAAGCUGUUCUUUACCCUGUUGGUGCGACUAAUCAUGCUUCUAUAUCUUCUGCCCGAGGGCAGGAGAUCAAGAAAGUGCAGGCCAGGGUGCGAAUCAUCCCUGAGAAUUUUCCUCAUCUCCUGAGGCAACGUUCUUCCGCUAUUUCAUCCAGCAGAUUCACGGGACAGCCCAUAAUAUCUUGUGCUGUAUUCACCACUCUCUGUAGGCACUUCCUAUCAGUUGAUGUCAAACCAGCGCACCACACCGUGAUGCAGUAUGAAAGAACAAUUUCUAUUGUAGACCGGUAGAAGGAGAUCAUCAAAUGUUGAUUGACAUCGUUCUUUCGCAAUACUCUGAGGAGAUGGAGUCUCUGUUGGGCUUUCUUAACCACCUGAGUUGUAUUUAUUUUCCAAGUAAGGUCUUCACGGAGAUAAACUCCUAGGAAUUUAAAGGAAGAGACUCUUCACAAUGAAUUCACAAUGAACAUAUAAGUGACAGAAGAAAACCCAAAUGCUGUCAACCUCAAAGAAUAAAACAAACAAAACAAACCCCACCAGCCUCAUAUACCUUAGAACUAGGGAUAGGGAAGAAAUUUUAUUCCGCUUGCAUCUGAAUGUGAACCCCAUCUAAUUUGCAACCUGCGAACCAAACCACAGCCCCCCUUUGAAAUUUGUUCUUCUCUGAAUUUUGCAAUGCCACCCACCAGCCAGCUAACAGGUACAAAAAUGUGCAUACUAGGGUAAAGCGUGCAUAGAAAUGAGUACUGAAGGGAAAAUAACAUACACAAAUGCAUUUUAUUAGGGGACACUGUUUUGUAACACCCCCCCAAAAAAACCCUGUACAUUAGGCAUAAGAGUAUAUGAAAAUGUGUGUGUGAGGGGAAAUUGGCACUAAAAUACUGGUGAAUUUUCAUGAGGGGUUAAUUUUAUUUUGCAAACGGAUGUGGAGAACUGAACUUAAUAUUGGAAACAUUAGAAACUGAAAUUCUUAGAAUCAUAGAAUUGUAGAAUUGGAAGGGACCUCAAGGGCUGUUCAGACCAACCUCCUGCUAUGCAGGAAAGUCAAGUAAAGCAUCCAUGACAGAUGACCACCCAACCUCUGCUUAGAUACUUCCAAGGAAGGAGAGUCCACCACCUCUUGUGGGAAUCUGUCCCACUGUCAAACAUCUCUUACUGUCAGAAAGUUCUUCCUGAUGUUUAGUCAGAAUCUCCUUUCUUAUAACCCGUCCACUUCAAAGCACUGUGAUACCAGGAUGGUAAUGCAAAUUAAAACAAACCAAUACGAUUAUAAACAGAAAAAUACAGGGAGCAGAUAAAAAUUGCAGCAAGAGCAUCAAUGGUAAUAAUAAAUCAGAAUCCAGCCACUUGUGUCAUUAGACAGGCCCUUGUCAUUUGCCUACAACCACCCAUCACACAAAUCUUUGUGAUUUGCUAUUCUUCUUCCUUUUUUGCUUUCAGCUUCUGAUUCUUUCCUUUCCAUGAUGAUGUUUAUUCUGCAGCUCCUCUAAGCAGAUCUCCACCCCCCCCCUUUUUUUGCCUUGGCAUUUGCCAUAUCCAUCUGUGGCUGGCAAGCCUUUAUUGAAUAUUUUAAUUUCCAUUCCGCCCUCCCCACCUUUCCCCUCUAAUCCCAGCAUGCUUAACUGAUUACAGCUAGGAUUCUCGCUGCUUCUAAGAUUUUUGUUUGGCAUAAGGUGUAGCAGAGCAGAACUGACUUCCUGGCAUGGUUUCACAUGCUGCCUAUCGGCUGGCUCUCAUAUCUGUAGGCUCCCUGUUAAUGAAUCUGAAUAGCUUCCUAUGCCAGUAGACACGCUUAUUAAAACUGAGAUUACUUAGAGGUGAUUUGCCAAAGGGACAGAGGGAUUUAAUCCCUCUCACACACCCCUCCCCAUCAGGUUAUAUUUUAAAGCAGGCCUGGAUGAAUUGUGACCCAGCAAAUUUAACACAGCCCACCGGGUAUAUAUGAUUGCAGCUUGCCAAGAGUAUUUAACAGCCAUCCUGGUUUUACUGUCCCAGAACUGGAGGCAGGAAGGCAGCCAAAAUUGGAGGGCCAUUGAACCCAGACCUACCAGUGGGUUUGGGAGGCAUUUCCUCCACCCCCCCCUUUGACUAAAUUGAAAUCUGAAGCGUUUUUUUCCUGGGGCAGGGGGGGUGUUUUCCUGGGGCAGGGGGGUGAAAUGUGAGAAUUUCAAAGGAAGCACACAGAAUUUUUUUGUCCACUGAGUGUGAACUUGCAAUUGAAAUGGACUUUGCGGAGACAAUUCAUGAUUUUUCGGGGGGGGGGGGGAGCCAGAAAAAUAAAGUUUUAAAGCUCUAUUUUAUUUUAUUUAGAAAUGUUUGCAGCUGUGUUGAUCCAUUAUAAUGAGAAGAAUCAAAACACUGACAGAUGAGGACCGACCGUAAAGUUGUAAAAUAGUCAGCAAGCUUUAAACAAAAGUAGCCAAAAGCAGUGUGGUAGAAAAGCCACCGUGUGGACCUUGGUGUAAUUUUAGAAAUGAAAUUUUAGAAUUAAAAUAGAAACUUUCCUUUCAUAACUUGUGUUAGCAUAUGUAAGGGACAGAAUCAUGGCAUGCUUGUUGGAGGGGGAACAUGUUACCAGUUUGUACUCCAUGUGGCCCCCCCCCAUGCAAAAAAAAAAAAAAAAGGAUACUUGGGGCCUGCAUCAUUUACCGUAUUUUUUGCUCUAUAAGAUGUACUUUUUCCCUCCUAAAAAGUAAGGGAAAAUGUGUGUGCAUCUUAUGCUGUUCUGGCUUCAGGGAUAGCUGCGCAAAGCCUCUUCAACAACAUUUGAUUCAGAAUAUUUUUCUUCUUCUUUUCCUCCUCUAAAAACUAGGUGCAUCUUAUGGUCUGGUACGUCUUGCAGAGCGAAAAAUACGGUAGGUCUUGCUAGACCCACAACAUAGCUGGGUUGUGCUUGGCUUGGUGGGUUGGGUGUUGUGCAAGCAUAUAUUUUUUAUAAUCCUUUUAUUUCAAAGCCUGUUUUCACGACUCUCACAAUGGCUUCAGCAGCCUACUUACGGCAGUUGAUAGUCGCCUAUUGUGGUUCUGGUGGUAGAUGGAUGCAUGCCUGGUGGUUCACUGGAAUCAAUGCCCAUGAGGUAAAUUCUGGUCCGAACCUGAGUCCAUUACUGAUUGCCAAAUGCUAAGCUUGCUCCAUAAUUGUUAUGGGAGACAUAAAACCCUAAAUCAGAUGAGCAGAAAGUUGUGAAAGAUACAUUGGACAUGAUAAUAUUUGGCUUAAUCUUAUGUUUUUGCUAAAGGGAAGGGAGUGACGUUUUCAAGGCUCCAAUUAUAAGGAAAACUACUUGGAACUAAAUGAGAUUUACAUCUGAGUGAGCCUGAUUAAGAUCACCCUACAGUAGUUUUAAACAAAUUUUCUGUAUUUGCCAGCAUGUUUUAUGAUAUAGUGUUGCUGCCUUUGUAAUCUGCCCUAUGGCAAUAGCGUAAGACAGUGGGAUAUCCUAUGAAACAUAGAACUGGGGUUAAUAGCUGCUUAGCCUUAAACACAUUUGGUAGGGCUUUUGUUUUGUUUUUAGGUAACAAGCCUCGUCCCCCAACCUUGUCUAUCCAUUUCUUAUGUGUAAAACAGGAACUGUCACGAUAUCGCUCACUGGAUUUUUGUUGGGAUGUGAACUGGGUAAGGGACAGAGCAAACCUUAUACUCUGAAAGUGUGUAUGGAAAUUGUUUUGAUUAAUUGUAGCAUGACUGCUAAGUAAAUGUGUUUUUGACACGGUCAAAAUUAGACCCAGAUUGGCAGAAAAUGAGGGUUCUGUUCUGUGCAUGUUCUCAUGUGGAAAACACAUGUCCGCUGGGUGGUACAUAGCUGAGGGCAUGUUCUUCAAAUUCUAGUACAGGGGAUCACCAACAUCUUCCCAUCUCCCACUCUCAGUCUUGUCAGAUGUGGUACUUACAAGGACAUAGUUUUGUCAGAUUAUUAUUAUUAAAAUGUGUAUACCACCUCCCAUCCAUAGAUCUCACAGCAGUUCAUAACAUAAAUUUACAACAUGCUAUUCAAUAGACUGAGUGGAAUGGUCUUCCGCCCCCAUACCAGACUGAUCUAGCCAAUUCCAAACCUUAGGGUCAUGGAGGGUGAUGGACCUGAGUUCAAAUCCCAGAUCAGUCCUGCCUCCUCUCCUCUGUCCUUAAAAUGGAAAUUGCAAGUAUUAGCCCCAUAGGGACAAGUGACAGAUACGGAGCAAAACACUCUGAGCACAGAAAGGUUUUCAAACGGUAUGUAACUUAACUCAAACAGUACACAGCCUCACAGCCCAUUGCUGAACUUUGUGGAUAACUUUCUUGGGAAUGAAAAAUCCAAAGCCAGAUGCCUAGUGGUACCAUGGCAGACUCUAAUAGUUUCAGGCCAGAGUGGGGAAACACUUCUUACUCACAUAAACUGAGAUGUCACCGCAGCGGGACCACUAUAGUGACUUAGGGUGAAGUUGAGAGGCGGGGUAGGGUGGGGGUGCCAAAUUUUGGCGUUGCACAGGGCGCCACUGAAAUUUGAAAAGCCCAAAGUCUACUGCUGCUCCAACAACAGCACACCGAAUGAAGUUGUUUUGCCAGUCUGGGAUCCACACACAAAGAGCUUUCCUAACUGCUCCAAGCCUUAGUAACAAAGAGUUGCUGUUCAGAAAGACAUGGCCCGACCGCAGUUCUAGAGAGCCAGUGUGGUGUAGUGGUUAAGAGCGGUAGACUUGUAAUCUGGUGAAGCGGGUUCGCUUCCCCGCUCCUCCACAUGCAGCUGCUGGGUGACCUUGGGCCAGUCACACUUCUCUGAAGUCCCUCAGCCCCACUCACCUCACAGAGUGUUUGUUGUGGGGGAGGAAGGGAAAGGAGAAUGUUAGCCGCUUUGAGACUCCUUAGGGUAGUGAUAAAGUGGGAUAUCAAAUCCAAACUCUUUUCUUCUUCUUCUUCUUCUUCUUCUUCUUCUACACAAAAGUGUCUUAAAUCACAACCCUAAACCAAUGUAUGUGCAGAACUGCAGCUUAUGUAUUGCAGUGGACCAUUUAUUCCGUGCAGCACACCUUAGUGUUUUCUUCUGCACCUCCAUUCUUUGCUGUAUCCCCAGUUUAGAAACUCUUUCCACAUGGAAUCAGUUGCCAAAGAGCGCAAGAGACCCAGUUAGGGAGGAAGAGGGUGUCUUUCUACAGCUCUGUGCACCGCGUAGGAAACAUUGCAGUGAAGGGAUUAGGAGGCUAUUUUCAGGCUAGCAUUCUUUGCUGUCUUGGCCAUGAGGCAGAAAUCUGUGCAGAAGUGGUUGCAUAAACACGCUAAAUUAACAAACAGAAGGAGCAUAUUCCGGAAGAGAUUAAUUCCAGCUACCCUUUUUUCCCCUAUAGAGCAAGUUGCCAUUUUCAUCAAACAAGAGAAGCGAGGCGGCAGUGAAAACAGCAGGUGGGUGGGGGGGAGGGAGAGGGAGAACAUGCAAGGAGCUUGGAGGCAAGUGUAGGAAAUUAUACAGCACAACUCACUGCUCUGAUUCAUUGGAACUCUCCAAAAAAGCUGAGUGUGCAGGCUGAGAGUCAGCAUAAGCAACGUGCACCUCCUCUGAGGUGUCAGUGGGACAGGGGAGUCUGCCAUGUCUGUGCCACACACCAAAAGCAGUGUGAAAUAUGGUAUUAGGUGAGCUCCCCAUUGCUCAUCUCAAAAACUAUUUGGGUUUUAAAAAAGAAAGAACCAGCUUUCCUUCUGCCUCCCCACAGCUGUAGAGCAGCCAAGGGCACGCACAGUCCAUAUGGGCACUGCUCGUGCAGUGUCCGUUCAGGCUGCCACUUGCGUGUGCCGUCCGUACAGGCGACCGUACGGGCUGCCUCUCGCACGGCGACCAUACGGGAUGCCGUGCAUGCGCAGUCCAUACGGGAUGCCACACAUGCACAGUCUGUACGGGAUGCUGUUCGUGCGGCAGCCUGUACGGUCACCGUGCAAGCGGCAGCCCGUAUGGCCGCUGCAUGCGAGCGGCAUCCCGUAUGGACUGCACAUGUGCAGCAUCCCGUAUGGUCGCCGUACAUGCGCAGGCCGUAUGGGAUCCCACUUGCACGGCAUCUGUACGGGCUGCCGCACAUGCGCACUCCAUACGGGCUGCCCCGCCCCGGGUGCUGGAGAGGGUUCCUCCGCCACUGGAACUAUUAGAGGUGUGUGGUGGGGAGUGAGCAAUUCGUUUCUGUGCUUUCUACAAGAAAGUUUGGAAAAUAAACAAGGGAGCUCCUUCCCUGCCAGCCCGCCUGAGCUCUUUCCAAGAAAAAGCCGGAGAAACCGCCCCCUUCCUUUGAGAAGUGGGAAAGAAUACUCAGCAAUCAUCACUAGAGCAGGGAUGGGAAACCCACGGGCCUCCAGGUUAGCAAUGGGGGAGAGAUUCAUUUCAGUGUGCGUCUAAAGGCAAACCUACCUAAUUCAAACUUUCUGAAACAACACAAGAACCAACGCACAGCCAUCCUUCAGCGGUAGAACAUCUGCCUUGCAAGUAUAAGGUCUGGAGUUCAAAUCCCGGCAUCUCCAGCUAGGCUAGGAGAGACUCCUGCCUGAAACCUGGAGAGCUGCUGCCAGUCAGUGUGGACAACACUCAGCUAGAUGGACCAAUAUUCUGACCAAGUAUAAGGCAGCUUCCCAUGUUCCUAAUGUGAACAUUUCUGAAUUUCACAGCGUUUAAUAGCAAUGGGAAGCCAGUGAGGUAGCUGAGCCCAAAAGCAGAGUCAUGUCUCCUUUCCCACCAUCUUAUAGAGCAGAAGCAUCAAUACAAUUCAUUGAACAACAACUGCAGGGCUAGGAUUGCUAUAUAAGGCAGAUGUUUGGUUUGUGGUAUCUGUAUCAUGGAAGCAUCACAGUCGGUCAAUACAGUGGUACCUCAGGUUACAUAUGCUUCAGGUUACAUACGCUUCAGGUUACAGACUCCGCUAACCCAGAAAUAUUACCUCAGGUUAAGAACUUUGCUUCAGGAUGAGAACAGAAAUCGUGCUCCGACGGCGCGGCAGCAGCAGGAGGCCCCAUUAGCUAAAGUGGUGCUUCAGGUUAAGAACAGUUUCAGAUUAAGAACGGACCUCCUGAACGAAUUAAGUACGUAACCAGAGGUACCACUGUACAUAUCUUGUGAGCAUAUGUUUUGUUUGUAUACAAGGCUUUCUUCCCCAUCUAACAUGGAUCCAUAUAACGUCCUAGUUAUAUGAACAAAUAUCAGAGUGUUUUGUUCUUGCUGUGGUUUUUUUACUGUUCUACAUCGCUACUUAUUUACUUGGACAUAAAUCCCACGGAUUUCAAUGGAAGUCCCUUUCAUCUAAGGGUGCUGAAGAUCACAGCUUCAAGUGUUUUUUAAUAGAAAUCACCAGAGGAUGUUUUAAUGAGAGAAGUGACAGAGAACACCAGCCUCAAAUCUUUUGACAAUAGGCCACCCGAUUCUUUCAUCCCAGGAUGUCUACAAUGAGAUGAGACAAAGGCAAUAAAAAGAAGGGAGCUCAAUGAGGCUGAAGAGACAUGAAACUGCAGCCUUGUCAUCAGCUGCUGAAGAAACAGAACAACAUGCUAAUACAAUUAUCUUCUCCAGAAUAAAGUAACUUUUUGCACAUCAAUGUGAGAAGGGGGAAAAAUCACAAGAAAGUGACAAUGCGCUAACACUACUCUGGUGGUGGUGGGGAAAUCAAGGGCAGAGAUAAUUACGAGAGGAGGAAAGAACUUCACGUUUAUGUUUCUAUUAAACUAGAAGUGCUUCAUUGUGUGUGAGGAUUAUUAAGUAAACAGGAGGAGAUCAGUUUAUUCCCUCAUCCCUGGUGGUCCUCAGUCCAGUCAGAGAUGAACAAUGGGGGAACCAGGGAUAGCCAAGGAUCCUGAACUUUGUGAAUUCCAGUGAGAACCUUUCAGGCUAAGGUGCAAAACUAAUGUCGUAGCAAUCCUACUCCGAAUUAAGCCUCACUGACUUCAUAGGGGUUCACUUCCAGGUAAGCGGGGUUAGAAUUAUAGCCUUUGUUAUUCACCAGUUUUUGCACUUAUUGAACCUGACCAAAGAACUCAGUUAUGUGGCAUCUAUACAAUGAAUACAUUCAUAAAUAAAAAAAUGAUCUGCCACAGGUCUUGGAUCAAAAAUGCAAAGGCUGACCUCAGGCAAAGCCUUGGUGGUGGUGCCGUCGCUGACCUGUGGCAGGGCCUUUUCAGUGAUGGUUCUCCAGUUGGGGAAUGCCCUCCCUAGAGAAGUGUGCCUGUCUCCAUCAUUAUUAACUUUCAGGAAGAAUUUGAAAGCAUCCCUGCAAAUCCAGGCAUUUGGUGCUUGAAGCACGCUGCUCCUGGCAACCUUAAAAUCAAUUUUUAAAAUUGUAAUUGCCUUUAGAAUGUUUUUAACUGUAACUGCUUUUAGAUGCUUUCAAUUGUAAUUGCUUUUAGCAUUUUUUUUAACACAUUGCUUUGUUUUUAAAUUGUAUAUCUGCUUGCCACCCUGAGCUCCUAGGGAGGAAGGGAAGGAUAUAAAAUAAAAAAAUAACAACCACAACCACAAAUAAUAUCCUGAGAGAAAAGAUGUUCAGAAAUGUGUGUUUAAAUACAUAUUUAAAUGUGAAUUACCGUGGACGGUAUUCAGUGACAUAUCUGUGCUGGAAGAAGAAGAAGAAGAAGAAGAAGAAGAGGAGGAGGAGUUUGGACUUGAUAUCCCACCUUUCACUCCCCUUAAGGAGUCUCAAAGUGGCUAACAAUCUCCUUUCCCUUCCUCCCCCACAAUAAACACUCUGUGAGGUGAGUGAGGCUGAGAGACUUCAGAGAAGUGUGACUGGCCCAAGGUCACCCUGCAGCUGCAUGUGGAGGAGCGGGGAUGCGAACCCGGUUCACCAGAUUACGAGUCCACUGCUCUUAACCACCACACCAUGCUAGCAUAAAGAUGAGUGUAAGCUCACUGGGAUUCCCUCCUCUCUCCUUCCCCAUCCUGUUACCAAAUCUACUGUUGAGUGUUGGGGGAAGCCCAGAACAGAUUUGGGGAAUGCUUGUGGGGAGGCGAGAGGGAGAAGAUUCUGCUGCACGAGGAGAAAUCCUUGCACUGAUGGGACAUGCUUCGUUGAACGCAACCCCAAAUGGUUUGUUUCAACAACAACAGCAACAGAUCAGUGCAUGAAUGGGAAUGGUGCAGCGAUAAAACCGCUAGCACAUUUGCAAAGCUAAGUAUAGUUUCAAAUUGGAUGAGGGACUGCGUGUUGAGAUUCCUGCAUUGCAGGGGGUUGGACUAGAUGACUCUCACGGUCCCUUCCAACCUCUAUUAGUCUAAUGAUUCUAUGAACUGCUGUAUAUGCAAAAGUGACAAAGACCGGAAAUUAGCUGAUUCACCUGUCUCUGGGUGGAACAUUGGAAGACAUUGCAGAAAACCGUCUGCCACUCCUGUUCUAUUUCUGGAGCCAGGAAGUAGCUGAAGCCAAAUAUACAUUUAAAUAUGCAUGUUUUGUCCCACAGGGAUCAUGAGACUGAAACAUAACAUAAAUGUUGUGCAUUAUGCCUAUAAGUUUAAAGACAUGCAAAUAGAGGAGUGCAAGUUGGGAGUUUGCUUGAAGGAAAGCUAGGUGCGUUGAGCCGUAACUCUUUGCAGAUAAUUUCUGGAUGAGGCAAUAUCUGCAAUAAAAACAUAUGCAAAAUACAGUGCAAUUCCAAAACCUACCAAAACAGGUUGGUCCCCCUGCCCUCCACCCAUAUAGAUGACUUCAACUUAAUGCAGGGAUGGAGAGAACCUGUGGCUCUGAAGAUAUUGUUGGACUCCAACAUCCAUCAGCCCCAGGAGAAAUGGCCAAUAGUCAGGAGAUGAUGGGAGUUGCAGUCCAACAACACCUGCAGGCCAGGGUUACCCAAUUCCUGGUCCAAUGGUUACCCAGCACAUGAGUACUCACUGUUGGUUUCUGCUUUCCUUCACUGUGCAGCUUUGCUUGUCACGAGAAAGGUGUUUACAUUCCACAGUCUGUACUGUUGGAGUUUCUCACGGGAAAGGGAGACUGGAUGUGACGUACACUGGUUUCCUGUUUUUCACUGUGUGAUUCUCUCCGAGCUGUCGAGGAGAGAGGAUGCAUUUCUCUGCUCCUGCAGAGGCAAGAUGUCUUUCUGUAAUAUACCAGCUUUGAACUGUAAAUAAAGCAAUAUAGAGUAUGUAGCACGUAUUGCUCAUCCUUCCGCUGGGCACGACAGACUCUGCUUAAAUCAACACGUGGUUAUGGACUCCAGAGGUCGAAUCGGAGUGCCGGCAAAGGAUCGGAAUGCAGAGGGACGGAUCGGAAAGGAAUCUGCUCUGCGCGUAGAAGUGAUUGAUGAGGUAUGUGCUACUGCUCCGGGCAGCCUGCCAGCUUCAAGUUAAUGGCUUUAUGGCUGGACUUUGAACUUUUAAAGCCGGUUUUGCCGGGAAUAGGCAAAAGGCUCCCAGGCACAAGUCACUAUGCUGGGGAAUCGAAAGUAACUUUUAAGUGUGCUUUUGGAUAAGGCAGCUGCAGCAGUGACGCAGCAAGAUUUAAAGCAGCAUAUGACGCUGAAGGCUAAUGCCAGAGUCAUGAUGGCCCUUCAGGAUGCUUGUGGGAUUCCUAAGCUCAACAAGAAAAAUUACAGCGACUGGGUUCAGUAUGCAGAGGCAAUUCUGCGGAAAGAGGGUUUGUUUGAAGUGAUUACAGAAACCCCCCCAGUUCCAGUUACAGAUGCAUGGGAAGCUAAGGAUUCCAAAGCAAGGGGAACUCUUACAUUGAUAGUAUCCCCAGAAGAGCUCUGUCUGUUGCGUGAUAAGACCUCAGCCAGAGAAAUUUGGGACGCUCUGAGAGAGGCUCACUUAAGGACAGAAGCUGGAUCCACUAUGUUUUAUUUUAACAAGCUGCAUAAUAUGGCUCUUGCUGAAGGUGGAGAUGUGCGUUUACAUCUAAUGGAGAUGCAAAAUCUGAGACAUGAGCUGCAACAGAGAGGACUCAACUUUCCAGAGGCUGUGUAUUCUUUCAUGAUACUACAAUCUUUGGGUUCAGGUUGGGAGUCUGUUGCAACCCAGAUUGCUGUGCAACCAACUGCUCAGCUGACAGUGGACUUUGUUACUGCCGUGAUUUUAAAUGAAGCAGAUCGCCGGGGUGCUAGCUGCAUGGGCAAGGGAGUCUUCACAGACGUCAUCCCAUAGUGCAGUGGAACCACCAGAUGGCGCCAAAGCUUUGAAGGCAGUGAAAUGCUACCCGUGUGGACGUCUAGGCCAUAUGAAGAGGGAAUGCAGACAUCCCAGGGCCAAGACAGAGCAGCGCAGCGAAAGCUCAUCGCGCGGAAAAGGCCGAGGCAAAGGCAAAGGUCCGGUGUCUAGGACAACGCAGCACAAGGCUAUGGUUUCACGCUUCACUCCAAAGGUUGCAGAGGUCCAGAAGACGUCUAGAUCUUUCUUCGUUGUUGAUUCAGCGGCCACCCACCACAUGUGCAACGAUAAGAAACUGUUUGUGUCUUUUACACCGCAGGAAGGUGCGAUUCACCAGGCGGAUGACCACACUAUUCCCAGUAAAGGCUACGGAACUGUUGUUCUUCACAGUUUGGACUUAUCGAUACAGAAUGUGCUUUACGUGCCAGACGCCAAACAUAAUCUGCUCAGCGUUGGACAGCUGAAUGAGCGGAACAUUGACGUUUCCUUCAAGAACAAGAAGUGCAUCAUCACAAAGAAAAAUGAUUAUGUAUUGCAUGCAGAAUAUGUUGAUCGUUUGUUUGUUUUGUAUUAUGAUGAUGUGGUGCAGGAUGACACUUGUUGCAUUGCAGGUUCUAACAAAAGUUUGCAUGCAGAAUGUAUUCACGAUUUUCAUCGAAAAUUUGGUCAUUUGCAUUUUGAGGCAGUAUCUAAAAUGCCUGCCUUGGUUGAAGGUAUGACUAUUAAACCCUGCAGGUACCACAUGAAGUGCAAAGCAUGCGCAGCAAACAAAGUGAAAAUGGCUGCGAAAGGUAAGGUGUCUAGUAGGAAAGCUACAGAACCAUACCAGGUUGUUCAUGCUGAUCUGGUUGGACCACUAGCGCCCUCUUUGGGUGGAAAUAGAUACUUCAUGGUUCUCAUUGAUGCAUUUUCUAGAUAUAUUUAUGUGUACAAUCUCAAGCAGAAAUCGGAGGCUUUUCCUAGGUUCAAGGAAUUCUGUGCUUGGUUGGAAAAUGUGCAUGGUAAGAAGAUAAAGACUCUUUUCAGUGAUCGCGGGGGGGAAUUCACUUCUCAGCAGUUUGAAGCUUUUCUGACUGAGAAAGGAAUUCAACACGAUUUGUCUAGUCCUCGCUCGCCAUGGCAGAAUGGACUUGCGGAACGGGCAAAUCAGACUUUGCUUCAAGGGUUAAAAACCUUGCUGCAUGAUGCCAAUCUUCCAGAGAGUUAUUGGGCCGAAUCUCUCUCGUGUUUUGUUUACAGUUACAAUCGCAGGUUAUCUUCAGCGAUUGGUUGUACCUCUAUGAGAAGAUGUUUGGCAAGAAGCCAUACAUCAAACACAUGAAGAUUUUUGGUUCUGACAUGUGGGUUCGCUCACCACAAAACUCCAAGUUAGACAAGCGUGGAUUGCAUGGUAUCUUUCUAGGUUAUCAGAAAGGGUCUUACAGAAUAAUGAUGACUGACUCUAAGACAAUUAAGCUCACGAGAAGUGUUGAGUACAAUGCAAAGUGGGGGAGAAUGUGGGAAUUUUCCAAUGUUAUCCUGAUGACGGUGAUGAGACUGAGGAUAGUCAAAAGCAACCACAACAGCCCACACCCACUGAUGAAGGUUCUGAGUCUGAAUCUGAAACUGAAUCGGGUGAUUCAGAGGCUUUCGAAGUGCGAAAGCCUCUAUGCGACCCUCUGAAAGCUCUGAUCAAGAAUUAGAGGAACCAUUGUUCACAAUAGGUCGUUUUUCUCCUAAGAAGGAAGAGGAGAGUGUUGAAGACUUAAGGCUAAUUCGUAGGUCACAGAGAGCCACAAAAGGCAAACCUCCAAAGAGAUUUGCUGAUGAGUUUGCUAAGAUAGCAGUAACAACUGUUAAAAGCUCCAAGAAGGUAUUUGAACCUUCAAAUUUCCAAGAAAUCCAGGGUUUGGAUUCAAAGGAAGCUGAGCCAUGGUUAAAUGCCAUGAAGGCUGAGCUUGAUUCCUUAGAAAGGAACAAAACAUGGGAGCUAGUUCCAGUAGUUCCAGGAAUGAAACUGCUUGGAAGCAAAUGGGUCUUCAAAGCGAAGACAGAUCAAAAUGGCAAGAUAGUCAGACACAAAGCCAGAUUGGUAGCCAGAGGUUUUGCACAGGUACCAGGUGAAGACUAUCACGAGACCUAUUCACCCACAGUGAGAUAUGAAAGCAUUAGGCUUAUGCUCAAGCUAGCUGCAGAGGAAAAUCUACACAUUAGUCACCAUGAUAUUAAUACAGCUUUUCUGUACGGAUCUCUAGAUGAAUCACUUUAUAUGCUUCCACCUGAUGGCGUACAGGUAAAACAGGGAUUUGUUUGUGCUCUGAAGAAAUCCCUUUAUGGUCUCAAACAAAGUGCACGGUGUUGGCACACAAAACUCACUGAAGUAUUGUUUUCUCUAGGUUUUCAGCAAGGGAAGCUGAUCCAUGUGUAUUUGUCAAAGAGGAGGGGCAAAAGAAACUGUACUGUUUGUUUUAUGUUGAUGAUUUAUUAUUCUUUUGGAAAGAUGUUGCAAUGUACAAUAGCGCCCUAGCUCAACUGAAAGAGCACUUUGACAUGAAAGAUCUUGGUGAGGUAAACAACUACCUAUCUCUGGAAAUAGAAAGAGAUCAAGAUGGUAACAUUCUAGUACACCAGUCACGGAAAAUUGCUGAUGUGUUAAGCAAACUAAAUCUGAUGGAUGCUAACCCUGUAGACACACCGCUGACAACAGGUUAUCAGGUAGAUGACACUGAAGAAGCAUUUUCUGACACUACACUGUACAGGAGUGUGCUAGGCAAGCUAAACUUCAUUGCCAGAUGUUCAAGACCAGACAUUGCUGUUAGCUGUAAUUUGCUAAGCAGACAAGUCAACAAUCCUAGUGUCAAGGAUUGGAAAGCUCUGAAACGCAUAGCGCGGUAUUUGAAAGGCACUAUGCAUUACAGACUGAGAUUUAACAAUCAGAAGUCUGGUGGUCUUGAGAUAUUUGCAGAUGCAAGUUUUGGAAGUGACGCUACAGACAGGAAAGGUACGUCUGGAGUUUGCUACAUGUACAAUCAGAGUCUGUUUGAUUGGUCAUGCAAGAAGCAAACAACAAUUAGCUUAAGUACUUGUGAAGCUGAACUGAAUGCACUGUCUUAUUCACUUAAGGAUUGUGAAUGGUUAGUACAAUUGUGCAAAGAUAUGAAAAUUCCUGUCAAAUGUCCAAUCCAGGUUUACCAGGACAACAAAGCAUGUUUGGCUUUGCUGAAGUCUGAAGGUUGUAAGCAAAGCACAAAGCACUUGCAAUUAAAGUUGCAGCAUGCUAGGGAAUGUAUUCAGAAGGGACUCGUAACGGUGUCCUAUAUGCCAGGUAAUGAAAUUCCUGCUGAUGUAUUGUCCAAGAUUGUAUCAAGGGAUCAACACUGUACCUAUGUGCAGAAGUUGGGUUUGUACUGAUAUUGUGCAAACACGCUGCCCAGUGAUGUUCACAGAAAGGGGGAGGAUGUUGGUUUCUGCUUUCCUUCACUGUGCAGCUUUGCUUGUCACGAGAAAGGUGUUUACAUUCCACAGUCUGUACUGUUGGAGUUUCUCACGGGAAAGGGAGACUGGAUGUGACGUACACUGGUUUCCUGUUUUUCACUGUGUGAUUCUCUCCGAGCUGUCGAGGAGAGAGGAUGCAUUCUCUGCUCCUGCAGAGGCAAGAUGUCUUUCUGUAAUAUACCAGCUUUGAACUGUAAAUAAAGCAAUAUAGAGUAUGUAGCACGUAUUGCUCAUCCUUCCGCUGGGCACGACAGACUCUGCUUAAAUCAACACGUACAACCCAUUACUGGUACACUGCUAAGUUUACAGUAGAAGAGAAGAAACAGGAAGUUGUGAGUGCUAUUUCGCUUCCUCAUCAUUCGCUACUCAAGAGAGGAAGGACCACAGCUUAGUGAUAGACCACAGCUUCUUCACAUGCAAAAGGUUCCAGGUUAAACUUGCAGCACUUGCAGCCAAAAGCUUAUCAGGUCAAUGGAGUGAGAUCUGCCUGAGGUCUUGGGGAGGAAUUGUCUCGUAUACAAGACUAGACUAGAAGACCAAUAGCCUGACUCAGUACAAGGCUAUAAGUUCUUAUAUACUCUGAGCAACCAUAACAGCAGCUAAGUUUGGACCAGAUGGAAACGGGUCAGGAGGUACUUCUGUCCCAAGCGAAAGCAAUAUAUGAAAAGGGAAAGACUGGGCACUUACACCCUCACUUCAAUUUCUCUAUACUGACAACAUUCCUGCAAAUCAAACCGGUUGGUAGGGGAAGGGCAGGACUCCCAGUUUUCUGUUGCUGCUGUGAUGGAGGUUACACCCGCAUGAGCCCCACUGAUUUCAUUGGACAUAACUGAAUGCAGGCCUAGAGGCAAUCAAAAGGACUCUCUGCUGAUCCUUUGGCUCAGCUGCGGUAGCACAAAGAGCAACAGACAACAGGUUUAUUGAAGUAUGAUCCUAUGCUUGGGAAACAAAGCUGCCUGGCAAUGCUCUGCAAGAGGGUAGUAAGGUAAAGGGACCCCUGACCGUUAGGUCCAGUCGUGGCUGACUCUGGGGUUGCGGCACUCAUCUCGCUUUAUUGGCCGAGGAAGCCGGCGUACAGCUUCCGGGUCAUGUGGCCAGCAUGACUAAGCCGCUUCUAGUGAACCAGAGCAGCGCACGGAAAUGCCGUUUACCUUCUUGCUGGAGCGGUACCUAUUUAUCUACUUGCACUUUGAUGUGUUUUCGAACUGCUAUGUUGGCAGGAGCUGGGACCGAGCAACGGGAGCUCACCCCAUCAUGGGGAUUCGAACCACCGAUCUUCUGAUCGGCAAGCCCUAGGCUCUGUGGUUUAGACCACAGCGCCACCCGCAUCCCUUAAGAGAGUGGUAGAGAGAGCCUUAUCCUCUACUUCAUGCCAAUGCCAGAGAAAUGUAUUGGCCCAACCAUGCCAUGUGGCAUAGUGACUAGAGUGUUGGGCUAUGACCUGAGAGACCAGGGUUCAAAUCCAUGAAGUUCACUGGGUGACCUUACCCUCAGCCCAACAACGGACCUCACAGUAAGAAGUUGCGUGGAUCAAAUGGGAAGGAUAACUAUGUAAGCCAUCUUGAGCUCUUUGGAAGAAAGGUGGGAUACAAAUGUAAUUAAUGGUAAUAGUAAUGCAACAGCUGUCCAUGAAUUGCGCAGUGGAACAGACCAAUGCCCACCACUGGGAUGAGAAGGCAAUUUCCCUUUGCACUAGAUCCUGCAUAUUCCGGAAGCAGAAAUGUUGAUUUAAACAGCCCAUAGGCUGCAGCUUUAAAUCACAUAUGCAGAAAAAUAACCAAUACGCUGUGAUUGAAAGAGUUGCAAAUGAACCCUUUCUGUUGGUUGCAAUAUGUGGGGAAGGAAGCUUCUUUUUGAUGUGCCACAGAUUCCUAAAAUACAAAUGAAGAGAUCAGUGAGAGGUUCAGUCCAUUUCCUUUUCAGUCUGCGGCUUGCUGGGUGUCCUUCCGAGUCCUACUUAGCCUGGUUUUUAAGGCAACGAUCAAAGGUGAUGUUGCAUCUAAUGUGGUGAAACGGUCGCUAGGGCAGAGGCCCCACACCCAUCAAGGAUUUACGACUUGUUUGUUCGUUGUGUGGUUUGAGUCUUCAAUAAACCAAAACAAGGAAAACCAUUUAAUUUCAGGGUACAAAUAUAUGUAUGUGAGAGUGCAACCCAGAUGAAAGCUGCCGUUCUCAGGACUGAAGACAAGAUACACGAAACCAGCCAAGAAUGACAGAAGCAAGGCAAUGUCUGCCAGAUUUCCAGUUCGGGUGGAUAAUGAAUGAGUGCAGCUAUAAAACGAAAUGACUUCUCUCCCUCUGCCAAUGUAUGGCUUUUUAGAGGGUUGCUACGAGGCUAUUAUGAGGGAGGAAAACAGGGCAAAUUAAAAUACGAGUAACUUUGUAAAAUCAAAGAUGUUCCAAGCCACUGUGAGUGAUGCUAUGUCAUUUGGUAGCCUUCUGUGUGGUUUAAAAAUAAAUAAACGGUGUGUCCUACUGAUGAAUGAUGCUAUUUGACAGGGAUAGGGAACCUCAGGCCCGGAUUCAACUAAUC
rnacentral:lncRNA from 1 species